ensembl:misc_RNA Metazoa_SRP Metazoan signal recognition particle RNA
GCUGGGCAUGGUGGCUCAUGCCUGUAAUCCCAGCACUUUGGGAGGCCGAGGUGGGAGGUUCACUUGAGCUCAGGAAUUUGUGACUAGCCUGAGCAACAUGGUGAAACCCCAUCUCUA